UGGGGAAUUUUGGACAAUGGGCGAAAGCCUGAUCCAGCAAUGCCGCGUGUGUGAAGAAGGCCUUCGGGUUGUAAAGCACUUUUGUCCGGAAAGAAAUCCUUGGCUCUAAUACAGUCGGGGGAUGACGGUACCGGAAGAAUAAGCACCGGCUAACUACGUGCCAGCAGCCGCGGUAAUACGUAGGGUGCAAGCGUUAAUCGGAAUUACUGGGCGUAAAGCGUGCGCAGGCGGUUUGCUAAGACCGAUGUGAAAUCCCCGGGCUCAACCUGGGAACUGCAUUGGUGACUGGCAGGCUAGAGUAUGGCAGAGGGGGGUAGAAUUCCACGUGUAGCAGUGAAAUGCGUAGAGAUGUGGAGGAAUACCGAUGGCGAAGGCAGCCCCCUGGGCAAUACUGACGCUCAUGCACGAAAGCGUGGGGAGCAAACAGGAUUAGAUACCCUGGUAGUCCACGCCCUAAACGAUGUCAACUAGUUGUUGGGGAUUCAUUUCCUUAGUAACGUAGCUAACGCGUGAAGUUGACCGCCUGGGGAGUACGGUCGCAAGAUUAAAACUUAAAGGAAUUGACGGGGUCAUAGCUGUUUCCU
rnacentral:rRNA from 1 species